UUAACAAUUUAACGGCAGUGUUUCAAUUGAACGACACAUUAUAUAUAUUCUCUUUCAUCUUAUAAUUAUUUAAUUCGUUUUGCUUAAUUUUACACGCUUUAAAAGCGUCGUUCAUUUCUGAUUUUGUACCAACACGGUGCAUUCUGGGAACUGAAGUAGACCGCGUUAUUCUUCCGCUUUAAAGUUUCUCACCAUUCGUUAAUCGCUGUCUUCAAAUAAAGCGACAUUAUUCCUGGGUUGCUUUCGUCUGAAGACCUGAGCAGCGAUAAAAGUGGUGAGGUCGAACAACCGCAAUGGCAUUCCGCUCAGUGACAAGUAAAAUGCGGUGCUGUCACAAGAGAACGCGGAGUUACACAACUUCAGUUUGGCCUUGUCCAGCCUGCAGCAGAAGGUGGUGGAUCAGCCCACACUUAACAGGGAACUCCAAGCUAUCAUGGCCAGAGACUGCAGUCAGGUCAUGGCGGCAGGAAUGUCCCAAGAUGGAAUCCAUACCUUCUUUAUUGGGUCCGACAGCUUUGAGGCUUACUGCAACAUGAGCCUGGGCAGGGGAGGGUGGACCGUGAUCCAGAGGAGAAAGGACGGACGGCACUGUUGAUUUCUUUCGUGGUUGGAACGAGUAUCGAAAGGGAUUUGGUGACCUCGCGGGAGAGCACUGGCUCGGUCUGAAGCACACACCUCAAAGACAUCCUUCUUGUCAA